UGUGUGUGUGUAUUACUUACUACUAUUCUUAUCUCUUUCUAAAUAUUCUCAAUACAUUAUCAGCAUGACUCUCUUUUACACACUAUCACAAUUUUUUUUUUUUUUGCUCUAGUCUUAAUUCUUCAAACCAAUUGCUACUCUUGCUCAAUUUCUGCCUCAUGAUCUUAAUGAUCUUCUUGCUAGUCCUUCACACAUUAGCUGCUUACUUAGAG
rnacentral:lncRNA from 1 species